UCUUUAAGAGAAUCCACCAGGAAAUGGGAGAUCGGGUUACAGCCCGCACCGGGGUAAAGGGGCGAGCUAGCGAGCGAGCGAGUCGCUGAGCGCGACGUCGGAGACAAAGCGGGGCGGCCGCCGGCAGAAGCCCAGCCUGGCCGCGGGGGAUUCCCCGCGAAGGUGGGCGCCCGGAAAAGAGGAGGUGCGCGCGCCCGCCAGGCCGGGGAUGCGGGCGCUGCCCCAGCCGAGCACGCGUCCUGGAGAAGGAAAGGCUGUUGGGAGGUUAUCAAAGGCAGUGACUCAACAAAAGUGGCGUGUAAAGGAGACUGUGUGUGGUUCCAAAGCAAACUACGCAGUAGCAGCUGUGGAAAACAUUGCAUUUAGCCAGGGGUGUUAGGGAAUGAAUUAUGGUCUCUUGUGACUUUCUACAUACAAACUGGAAGAGGAACCUGAAUGUCUAGUCUUUAUCCUCCAAAAGAGUGAUGAGGAGUGGCGAGAAGUGGGGAAGAAUGAAGUUAAGAACCAUGUGGAAGUGGAUG